CAAAGACGGCCGAGGGCAUGCUAUAUCGGGGUGUUUCUGCUUGAGUGGUUUUGAAAGUACACCUGAUCAGUAAACGGACGGGUCCGAGAGACACACCUUGCCUCACACCUCCUUCCAGCACAAGUUACUUGGACUUUCGUAUUAUUCGCUAUCAGUGACUAUGGCGGACAACGGUAGUGGAAUCAGUGAUGAGGCUAACUAUGGGGCAAUCGCUGCUGUUGGCAUCUUACUGCUCCUCGUUGUAGCCGUGUUGCUGUACGACUCCAUAUGUCGCGGCUCAAGCAUCAAGAAGAAGAGGGCAAUGAACAGGGGCUAUCAGAUGCACGGAGUAGCUUCUGGAAGCGGAUAGAGCUGCAAUACUGAAUCCUCAUCAAUCACGUCACACCGCCAUGAAGGAGGAGGACACUGCACGUAUCUGUGUCAGAAGAUGACAUUUUAAAGCUCCAUCUUACUAUUGUCUUCACGGGAAUAUGGCAAGACGUUGCAUGACUUUGUGUCUUGUGAUAAUUCUUUAUUGUAAUAAGCAUCGAUGUGAGAGGCGUCAUCAGUCUCACAGAUUCCUAGAUUCCAGUCCACAUUACAAGAAGGAAGGGCGCUUUUUUAUAUAAUCUAUUUUUUAUAUUGGCAUACGACAUUGUAAAACAGUUUAUCAGGAACAAACCCAUCUGUAACACCUGGUAGGCACAUGGCAGAUUGUCUCCCCUUUACUGUAGAUGGUUAAAGCGUCUUUGUACAGGGAUGUUCAAAUAACGUUGUAAGACAUUCAGUGGUUGACCUUUAUAUGUUUUUUUAAUAAAUACUCAGAACAUUUGCAUAAUAGCCACUUAUAUAAACCUGCACUUAGUAUAACAAACUGCACGUCCACCCAUCAGGAGUAUAGCUUAACCGGAUAGUGACCCUUCAGUAUUCAUGAAAAAGGACGCCUAACCACUUCCACUUGAUAAUAUUGAUGGUUGAUAAACAGAAAUCAUAUUAAAUACUGCACUGACAUUCCCUUUUGGGGAAAUAACAAAAUUCUCAUUUUGAAGAUAUGUCAAGAAUUAACAUUUUUGCUGUCAUUCCACGAAUCUCUCCAACAUGUGAUAGAAUAUAGCAGUGAAUUGACAGCAGAUACACAACAGCUACACAAUGCCUCCCUAUAUGCAUCGCUUGUUAGACGCAGUUAUCUCCCCUGGUUACUCACUUGUUACAUAGUGUCACGGCUUCAUAAUGUCCCUGCUUUGUGCACCUACAUGUAAAUCCAUAGCAAUUGUGGAACUCCAACUUUAAAGUACUUGUACAUAUGUCAUAAUAAAGUGUGUCACGCAUCGAA